rnacentral:lncRNA from 1 species
AGUGGGCCGAGCAUGGCUUACAUUUUAUAAGACACUGCAAAAAUGCCUUCUCCAUUGGCUUACCAGUUUUAUUUAUUUUUAAAGUUAAGCUUAGUUGAUAAAGACAUAAAGACUGUAUGUAUCAGAGGGUGUUAGAGUUUCAGCUGUUGGAGGGAACAUUUUGGACUCUGUUUAAAAACACAGCUAUUAUAAUAGGCUAACUCAGUAUACACAAGAAUCAGGCCUCAAUAACUAUGCAGAGUAACGUACCGUAUGUCCCAGUAUUUUGUUCCUGGGUAGGAUGUCAGCAUGUGAGAGGUAUGCAUGGUCACCUGCUUACCCGGUUCCACUCACAAAGCCAAGACAGGAAAUCAUAUGAGAAGGAAAAUGAAUGACAGAACAGGAGCUCAUCCAGUCGCUCAGGUGCUCGGGGUCUAUGGAAGCAGAGAUACACUCACUCAAGCUGCUGUAUUGUGGACUCGGUGCGAGUUCUGUUAAGUCUAUGGAAGCCAAGAGUCUACAUGAAGCAUCUCUACUUUGGAACAGCAUCUCCCAGCAGCUUCUACAGAGCAGAGAGCAGGCCUAAUGGGGCAGCUGAACACAUGGAACUCCCCAGCAGUCCCAAAGCCCCCCCCCCCCCCCCCCCCGCUAGCUUCAUCUCUGAGCAGAACAGUGGGGAGGGCUGUCGCUUAAGGCACAGGACACUCAAGGUCACAAAUGGUGUUCGAGGCCUCCAGUCCACGACUCUCUUGUUGCUUUUCUUAUGUGCGGUUUAAGGUCAUUUAAAAACCACUUCUCUAACAUAUGACAAUGGAAUAAAACAGCUUUAGAAAUG